UACCUUAGUAGUUUAAAUCAAAACACUGGUCUUGUAAAUCAGAAUUAAGAAUAUGUCUUUUAAGGUAU
rnacentral:tRNA from 1 species